UUUGGAAUAGUUUUAGGAGAAAUGGUACCAGCUCUUCUUUGUACUUCUGGUAGAAUUCGGCUCUGAAUUUGGUUCCACUCUCCCCAUCACUUUCAGGUACACCAACCAAAUGAAAAACAUCCAGGCAAGUGGAAAGCAUUUGCAUCAGCCCAGCAAUAAGAAGGACCAUAUUCUACUUGGGAAAAGGUAAAGACGUUUCAUAUGGAUGGAGCCUGCCAGGAAACCUGUCAUUCAACCCUUUGCAAUAAAACAGCUCCUCAUGAAUGAAGCAAAAUAAAUCAGAAGUCGUGGGCUUUUAAAUUCACUAAAUGAAAGCCCAGCAUGCAUGCAGCCUCCCUCCAAAUUAAUCACCAGAUUAAAUGCAAGAUGUGCACACCAAAUCAAUAGCUUGUGACAGAGACCUCCUGCCUGUGCUUCAGGAAAAUUCCAUUUCCUUUCAGAUGUUGUAGCUUGAAAUGUCAGGAAGUUUCCAUUCAUCACCCGCCCUUGAAAAUGCCACCAUCACCAUGCUUCAUGUUUCCUUGCUUUCUUUCUUCAGAGGAAUCCAAGCACCUUGCAGAGGGAGCCCACUCAUUGUCACAG
rnacentral:lncRNA from 1 species